rnacentral:rRNA from 1 species
GUUGAACGCUGGCGGCGUGCCUAACACAUGCAAGUCGAGCGAACAGACGAGGCUUGCGCCUGGCUUCAGCGACGGGCGGGUGAGUAAUUACUAGGAGUCUACCUGGCAGUGGGGGAUAGCAUACGGUAACGAGAGCUAAUACAACAUACGUCCUGAGAGAGAACGUCGGGGAUCUUCAGACCUAACGCUAUCAGAUGAGCCUAGGACGGAUUAGCUAGUUGGUGGGGUAAAGGCUUACCAAGGCGACGAUCCGUAGCUGGCCUGAGAGGAUGAUCAGUCACACUGGAACUGAGACACGGUCCAGACUCCUACGGGAGGCAGCAGUGGGGAAUCUUGCGCAAUGGGCGAAAGCCUGACGGAGCAACGCCGCGUGUGUGAUGAAGGUCUUCGGAUCGUAAAGCACUGUAAGUUGGGAGGAAGGGCAGUAAGAGUAUCUCUGGCCGUCUUGACGUUACCAACAGAAAAAGCCCCGGCUAACUUCGUG